rnacentral:rRNA from 1 species
UACAGAGGUCUCAAGCGUUGUUCGGAUUUACUGGGCGUAAAGGGCGCGUAGGCGGCCAGCACAAGUCAGUUGUGAAAUCUCCGAGCUUAACUCGGAAAGGUCAACUGAUACUGUGCGGCUAGAGUGCAGAAGGGGCAACUGGAAUUCUUGGUGUAGCGGUGAAAUGCGUAGAUAUCAAGAGGAACACCUGCGGCGAAGGCGGGUUGCUGGGCUGACACUGACGCUGAAGCGCGAAAGCUAGGGGAGCGAACGGG